CUUACAUUAGAGCUACAACAUGAAUUACGCCAGUGAAAAAUCAUAAAAUAUAAAAAUCACGGAAACUAAGGAAAUUCUUAAAUAAACGAACGUUCAAGGUUAAAAGAUAAGUAUUUAUAUAUAGUAUUGUAUUAGUGGCGUACCUAACUAAACUAAAACGUAGUCUAACAUUAAUUUGCAUUAGUAUUUCGUAAGUAUUAGAAACGGAGCGUAGCGAGGGAUUUAUUGGUUUUACUAUGAUGUGUGUGUAUUACAGUUAAAGACAUUUCUUUGCAUGCCUUCAAAUACGUGUUCAUCGUACACUGUGUAUAAUAUAUUAAUAUAAUAAUUUAUUCUCC